GUACCUUCUGAAUGUUCGUUUGCGCUCAAAUUUGACAGUCAGGCUCGGUUUAAACUAACAAGAAGAACGAAAUCUUAACUUCUCAGUUUCAACCAUUUUUGGUCACCGAAAGCUCUAUCGACCCGAAUCUCUGGUAGAUAGCAGUCGUAUUUUAUUUUUCACUUUCCGGGUGUCGGAAUGACAUGAAACUUUAAAUCUAGUCUCAUAAAAAUAAUUCCGACAUAUUCCCAAACUUUCAUAAUUUUCUGACACUAUAAAUUUUCUGCUAAAAGAUCAGCCUCGUUUCUUACAGAAAAUUCUAAAUCUUCUGUUUCAAUUCCAAUUCCAACACAAGUCAUUUUCGACUUAUAUUUUACUUUUUUAAGUCCAAUAAAAAUAGUAUUUUAUACUAUUUUUAUUUACACUUACUUUUUUAUUAAGAAUCCUGUACAUUACAAUAUUUCCACGGAUUGUCCCACUAAAAAAUUGUACAAAAAGA
rnacentral:lncRNA from 1 species